rnacentral:lncRNA from 1 species
UUAAGUGUAUAAUUUUUUUGAAGAAAUAAGUGUCCAAUUUAGUAGGACAAUAAAUGCCCAUUUAGAUAUAAACAACAUGAGUAGAUGAAUGUAACCAACUCCUAGUACACACAAACUGUAUAUAUAUAUGUUACAUAAAAUCCCAGUCAAGACAUCAAUUUGAAAGAGACAAAUUAAAUACAUUCAUCUAUAAAAAAUAAAAUAAAAACAUACAAAAAGAAAAUGACAGUAUAUCAAACCACAAGCACAAAACAUUUUUUAUUUCAUAAAAACGUGGCAACUUUCUUUGUUAUGAUCAUGAAUGGUUUUUUUUUAUUGAGUUGAGAGAGUUUCCCCGUUAAUGCCCUGGUCCAUCAGGGCUAGGACCAGAGUUGUCAAUUUCCAGUCUCCUAAUGUUUUUAUUCUGUUUAUGACCUUCCACAACCAAGGAGUUCUUCACAACCAUAUUGUGUGGUGAUUUCAUAAAGAUACUCUCUUUUAGUUCCAAGGUGUUCAGUGGCCUUGACAUCCCAUAUUGGAUGCACAACAAGGACAAAGAAAGAAAAAUAAGGAAGAAGUUAAAGUAUUGGUGUUUUCCAACCAUGACUAUUGUAGUAUUUAGGUUUGGAGAUAUGUAUGAUUUUG